CAUUUGUAAACUACCAAAUCUGUUAAAUGUCCUAAGCUUGUAUUUGAUAUUCCAGGUUGAAUAAAACAUUACUUUGGCUGCACCUUCCUUUCUGGCCUUUCCUGGACACUUGGCCUCCUGGAGCACAGUUAUGUUGGGGAAGCAAAGAGGCAGAGGUGUAGAGGAGAACAUCUUUGAGGAUAAGCCAUCAUGGUGAGGUGGGAGAGCAAAAACAUGGAAGGCACCUGGGUCCCGGAUGACAUCGCUAAGCCACGAAAUUGAUCAGCCCUGGAGCAGCUUUGUAGCUGGACUUCUUAAAAGCUCAAGGUGCAGCCAUAGGGAAGGAGAAAAUUCCACGGAGGAAAUGAUUUGGAGUAAUAUGGAGAUGGAAAAGGUCCCCUCCAAGGCAUCUAUGGAAAGAAUUCACAGGACGGGGCACCUGGAUGGCUCAGUGGGUUAAAGCCUCUACUUUCGGCUCAGGUCACGAUCCCAGGGUCCUGGGAUUGAGCCCCC